rnacentral:rRNA from 1 species
AUACGGAGGGAGCGAGCGUUAAUCGGAAUUACUGGGCGUAAAGCGCGCGUAGGCGGCUUUGUAAGUCGGAUGUGAAAGCCCCGGGCUUAACCUGGGAAUGGCAUUCGAUACUGCAGAGCUAGAGUAUGGUAGAGGGAAGUGGAAUUUCCGGUGUAGCGGUGAAAUGCGUAGAUAUCGGAAGGAACACCAGUGGCGAAGGCGACUUCCUGGGCCAAUACUGACGCUAAGGUGCGAAAGCGUGGGGAGCAAACAGGAUUAGAAACCCCGGUAGUCC